GUGAGUUACAUGAGAGAGCCACAUUCCAUUCUGUUGUGACUGUUAUUCCAGUAACUGUUGUUUUUAACUGCUUUCUGCUCGCUCGCUCACUUGCUUGCUCUGUAUGAGGGGGAAUGGCUGCUGAGAGAGGCUUCUCAAGAUACUGCUGAGGAUGGUGUGGUGUCAGUGUGAUCCGUCUGAAGUAAAACAGAGGAAGAUCCCUAAACAUUAAUAUCCUGUGAACUGCCCUAAGACCUGCAGGCAGCCCGAGUUGCAGAAGGAGCGGACGGAUCCUGACUCCCAGCAGCCCCUCCCCUUCAUUCCCGCCGUCAGAGGGGUCUGGCGGAAGCUCCAGCUCAGGGCAUUGCCUGAGGUUGUUUAUAAAAAAAAAUAAAAAUGGAAGACACUAA